CUUGACCGUGCGAAAAGAUAUUUUCCCCUACUGGUAGUACACGAAUCUAGCCGUGAAGUUGGUUUUCCGCGUGAUUCCACGAUUUUACGCAGCACCGUGGUAAUUCCAUCUUUUGACGAUACGGAUUUUGUUGGCGGCUCCAACUCGCUAGAAUUCGAAGAGACUCUCCGAGCAUCAUCGGUAGACGACGUACUCAGUCAGUACGAACAGUAUGGUAGUACGCCACCAAGGACGAGAAUAAAGAAUAAAAGCAGAAGUUCCAGACAAAGAAUGGAGGGUGCCGUAAAGAUGAGAACCGGAGGACGACUAGCGCGGCCACGUGCUGAUCGACGGAAUACCGUCGAUUGUGCAAUUCUGAACCAGUUAAUAAUGGAACCGAAUGGGGAAGAGAAAGCACGCAGUGACAAGAGAUCAACUCAAUUACUACGUGACUCGGAGCGUGAGAUAAAAAUGGCAGCUGCAGUAAAUACAGUAUUUACAAGAAAUUCGGUUAAUUUUGGCCCGACAGUUGGUUCGAUUGAGGAACGAGCAGAAAGUAUGCCAAUUACGAAUGUUACUACAGGAAUAUCUCCGGCUGUGGUUCCAGCGUUGAUAGAAUCGUGUAAUCGUUUUAUGAGCGUCAAGUCACGACCCAUAGGCUGCAGAACGUCUGCUCCACCGUCUGCCUUUGCCAACUUCAGAGAUUGUUCGAUGAAUUCUGCAACAACAGAUAUACCUCAGAAUCGGAUUACAUUCCAUGAUACUUUUCCAAUCUGAUUAAACUCGGCAGCAUCGACAAGGAUCGGACUAGUAGAAACGUAAUCUCAACAGAAGAAAGGCUCUGGCAGACGCAUGCCAACGAUUUAAUAUGGCUAGAGCUACAAGCGUGGCACGCUGAUCGAACCGUUGAACAGCAGGACAAAAUUCUUUGUCAAGCUAGAAAUGAGAUAGAUGCGUUAUUAGAAGAAAUUAUGAACUUCCGUUUUCAGCGCCAUCUUGCCAGAAUGAACAGUGAUUUAAGCUUAGCCGAUAGUGGAUUUGGAUCUGAUGCAACAGCUUCAACGGCUAAUGUGGAUUCUGCUCCCAAAUUUUGCUUCGGAUGUUUGUCAAUGUAUUGUAAAGAUUGUUUA